rnacentral:rRNA from 1 species
AUGGGCUAUGGUGCGACAUCAACGAGCCCUCCAACUUCAAGGAGUGGCAGCCUCUCAAUCCGUUGGACGACCCGCCCUACCGCAUCAACAACUCCGGCUUUCACCUUCCCAUCAACUACAGGACCGUCCCGGUCUCCACGCUGCACUACAACGGCGUGGCCGAGUAUGACGCGCACAAUCUCUUCGGCCUCCUCCAGGCGCAGGCCACACACGCGCGCCUGGGACACCGCGCGCCGCCCCUUCGUGCUCAGCCGCUCUACCUUUGUGGGCUCCGGCCGUUACGCCGCGCACUGGACCGGCAACAAUGUCGCGCGGUGGGACGAGCUUGCGCACUCCAUCAACACCAUCCUCAACUUUGGCCUCUUCGGCAUCCCCAUGACGGGCGCCGACAUCUGCGGCUUCAACGGCAACACGACCCAGGAGCUCUGCAGCUGCUGGAUUCAGCUUGGCGCAUUCUACCCGUUCGCCAGGGCCCACGCAGAGAAGACAACCCUUCGGCGAGAGCUCUAUGUGUGGGAGCCGACGGCACGGUCGGCGAGGAAAGCGUUGGGUAUGCGGUACCGACUGCUCCCCUACAUGUACACGCUAAUGUACGAGGCGCACACGACGGGGGCGCCCAUCGCGCGGCCACUCUUCUUCUCCUACCCGCAGGAUGCCGACACCUAUGGCGUGGACAGGCAGUUCCUGCUAGGCCGCGGCGUGCUUGUCUCUCCGGUGCUAGAGCCCGGUGCCACCACCGUGGAGAUUUGA